AGAGAAACCUGUUUGGGAAGCAGGAGGGAGACUCCUCAGGCAGUAACCUGCAGGAUCCACGUGCACAAUCAUUCAACAUGUUUUUAUUUUGUACCUACUCUGUGCUGGGUAGGCUGUCCUAGUUGAUGGGCGUACAUCCAUGAAGAAGAUGGAGCUAGGGUGUACGCUGAGGAGUUCGUGGUCAGGUCAGGAGAGGGCAGGCGAAGGUCCCUUUCCUUCCCACCCGGAGAUGCCUUUGGAUCACACGGGAAACCCUUGGAUUGGUGAAGAAUCUGAAGUCUGGGGAAACCUUCAUGGCGGCUGGUGCUGACCUGCUUGGUGGCACCAAUUCCCAAUAUAUGGCAGACUCUAUGAUGGCCUCCAAUUAUCCUCACCUCCUGGUGUUCAUGCCUCUUGUGGUCCCCUCCCCUUGAAUGUAUGCAGGACCUAGGACUUGCUUUUAACCAAUAGCAUAUGGCAAAACAGAUGGGGUGCCACUUUUGUGAUUAGAUUAUGUGACACUGUCACUUUGGUCUUGCCAGCAGGCUUUUUGUAUAGAUUUUUCUCCCUGGAUGGCUCUGAAGAGGAGCCACAUGGCAAGGAACAGGGGUGGCCUCCAGCCCCUAAGGAACUGAGGCCCCUUGUCUGAUAACCUACAAGAAACUGAAUCCAGGGAUUUCCCUGGUAGUCUGUGACUAAGACUCCAUGCUCCUGAUGCAGGGGGCCCGAGUUUGACCCCCUGGUCAUGAAACCAGAUCCCACAUGCCACAACUAAGACCUGGCACAGCCAAAUUAAAAAAAAAAAGAAAGAAACUGCAUCCUUCCAGCAACCCUGUGAGCUUGGAAGAUGACCUCUAUUGGAGUAUCAGAUAAGAUCACAUCCCUGGCUGACACUUCGUCAGAGGCCCUGAAACAGAGAACCCACCCUAGACUAGGCCUGGAUUCCUGACUCACAGAAACAGUGAGAUAAUAAAUGUGAAUUGUUUUAAGUUGUUAAAUUUGUGUUAAUUUGUCGCAGUGAUGGAAAGCUAAUACAGGGCUAGACACCUCCUAGAAAACUCCACAAAGAUGUACCUGGCUGCCUCCUGCUCUUUGCCAUUUGGGGGCCAUUUCAGUGUUCUGCGAGG
rnacentral:lncRNA from 1 species